rnacentral:misc_RNA from 1 species
GAUGAAGAACGUAGCGAAAUGCGAUAAGUAAUGUGAAUUGCAGAAUUCAGUGAAUCAUCGAAUCUUUGAACGCACAUUGCGCCCAUUAGUAUUCUAGUGGGCAUGCCUGUUCGAGCGUCAUUAAGUCCACUUAAGCCUAGCUUAGUGUUGGGAGUCUACUUACGCGGUGCUACCUAGUAGUUACCCUGUAGUUCCUUAAAGACAGCGGCGGAGUUGUAAUACCCUCUGAGCUUAGUAAUUUUUUCUAGCUUUCGAGUCGUUACUUCCCCUGCCGUUAAACCUUCUACUUCGGUAGUAUUUUAAUGGUUGACCUCGGAUCAGGUAGGAAUACCCGCUGAACUUAAGCAUAUCAAUAAGCGGAGGAA